rnacentral:rRNA from 1 species
CUACGGGCGGCUCCAGCGAGGAAUAUUGCACAAUGGGGGGAACCCUGAUGCAGCAACGCCGCGUGGAGGAUGACGCAUUUCGGUGUGUAAACUCCUUUUAUAUGUCAAGAAAAUGACGGUAGCAUAUGAAUAAGCACCGGCUAACUCCGUGUCAGCAGCCGCGGUAAUACGGAGGGUGCAAGCGUUACUCGGAAUCACUGGGCGUAAAGGACGCGUAGGCGGGUUGGAAAGUCAGGUGUGAAAUCCUACAGCUUAACUGUAGAACUGCACUUGAAACUUCUAAUCUAGAGUAUGGGAGGGGGAGAUGGAAUUAGUGGUGUAGGGGUAAAAUCCGUAGAUAUCACUAGGAAUACCUAAAGCGAAGGCGAUCUCCUGGAACAUUACUGACGCUAAGGCGUGAAAGCGUGGGGAGCAAACAGGAUUAGAUACCCGGGUAGUC